rnacentral:rRNA from 1 species
UGAGCAAUCUGCCCUUCUCUUCGGAAUAAGCGUUGGAAACGACGUCUAAUACCGAAUACGACCUCCUUUCGCAUGAUCGGAGGUGGAAAGCUCCGGCGGAGAAGGAUGAGCUCGCGGCCUAUCAGCUAGUUGGUGUGGGUAAUGGCCCACCAAGGCGACGACGGGUAGCCGGCCUGAGAGGGUGACCGGCCACACUGGGACUGAGACACGGCCCAGACUCCUGCGGGAGGNAG